ACGCUCGACACCUACGGGCAGCAGUGGGGAAUAUUGCACAAUGGGGGAAACCCGUGAUGCAGCAACGCCGCGUGAAGGAAGAAGGUUUUCGGAUCGUAAACUUCUAUCAAUAGGGAAGAAAGAAAUGACGGUACCUAAAUAAGAAGCCCGGCUAACUACGUGCCAGCAGCCGCGGUAAUCUGAGCGGGCUGGCAAGGC
rnacentral:rRNA from 1 species